CAAGCAAGCUACCAACCCUAACCCUUCUGCAAUACCACACCUCAAACCCCAAAAAUAAGAUUAGAUCUGAGACAAAUCUCCUCCACCUUCUUACAACCCUUCUUUGUGUCAAGAAUCCUCCACCUAAUCAGAGAUCACCAUAACCAAGGAAGCAAUAAGAAGGAAAACAAGAAAAAAUCUAGGCGCUAUAGAAAUCGAGCUGAACUUGAUCUUCGGCAUCUUCUUCUUUCCUCCACGUAACUGAGCUCUGAUCCAACUUGUUGAGAACCUCCGGUACAACCUAUAUACCUAAUCAGGAUCACCUUGUGUGGAACCUAGAUGUUAUUCCAGCAAACAACAAAGAAGAAGAAAGAAGGAUGCUAGGGUUUGGCGUUGGAACUAGAGGGGG
rnacentral:lncRNA from 1 species